rnacentral:rRNA from 1 species
GAUGAACGCUGGCGGCGUGCCUAACACAUGCAAGUCGAGCGAUCUUCUUCGGAAGAGAGCGGCGGACGGGUGAGCAACGCGUGGGUAACCUGCCCUGUACACACGGAUAACAUACCGAAAGGUAUGCUAAUACGGGAUAACAUAUUUUUAUCGCAUGGUAAAAAUAUCAAAGCUCCGGCGGUACAGGAUGGACCCGCGUCUGAUUAGCUAGUUGGUAAGGUAACGGCUUACCAAGGCGACGAUCAGUAGCCGACCUGAGAGGGUGAUCGGCCACAUUGGAACUGAGACACGGUCCAAACUCCUACGGGAGGCAGCAGUGGGGAAUAUUGCACAAUGGGCGAAAGCCUGAUGCAGCAACGCCGCGUGAGCGAUGAAGGCCUUCGGGUCGUAAAGCUCUGUCCUCAAGGAAGAUAAUGACGGUACUUGAGGAGGAAGCCCCGGCUAACUACGUGCCAGCAGCCGCGGUAAAAC